rnacentral:tRNA from 1 species
AGGGAGUUAGUCCAAAACAAGACCUCUGAUUUCGGCUCAGAAAAUUGUGGUUUAAGUCCACGACCCCCUUAUGACACCAGUACAUUUCAGUUUUAGCUCAGCAUUUAUUCUUGGACUAAUAGGUUUAGCAUUCCAUCGAACUCAUUUACUUUCUGCACUUCUAUGUUUAGAAGGAAUAAUAUUAUCCCUAUUUAUUGCACUAGCCCUGUGAGCUCUCCAAUUUGAGUCCACAAGCUUCUCAACUGCGCCUAUACUACUACUAGCCUUUUCCGCUUGCGAAGCAAGCACAGGCCUCGCACUAUUAGUAGCCACAGCCCGGACCCACGGAACUGACCGCCUACAAAACCUCAAUCUUCUACAAUGCUAA